CGGAAGUAAAAGUCGUAACAAGGUUUCCGUAGGUGAACCUGCGGAAGGAUCAUUAAAAAAUUGGACUCCAUUGGUGAGUUCAUUAAUAAUCCCUACCCUUUGUGAAUUUGUUUGUUUGAAUAAUUUUUUUUCCAAAAAAAAUUAUUGAAUGUCUUUCCUUGUUUGGUGGAGCUUGUAAAGUGAAACCAGGCAGGGGAAUGGCAAGCAAUAAUUAUUUUUGAAAAAGACCUUUUUUAAAAUUAAACUUUUUGUAUUCAUUUGUCUAAAAUUAAUUUUUAUAAUAUAAAAACAACUUUUGACAAUGGAUCUCUUGGUUCUCGCAACGAUGAAGAACGCAGCAAAAUGCGAUAAGUAGUGUGAAUUGCAGAAUACGUGAAUCAUCGAAUCUUCGAACGCAUAUUGCACUUUUUUAGUUUACUAAAAAAGUAUGUCUGUUUGAGUAUCAGUAAAAUAUUCUCAUAAAAAACAUUGUUUUUUUAUGGUUAUGAGUGUUUUACAACGAUAACAAGUUGUUUCACUUUAAAUUCUUUGUUAUCAAAAAAAUCAUUAAAAGCUAAUUUUAAGAUUUUUUAAAAUUGGAUAAAAUUUUCCCGUAAAAAGGAAUAACCUAAACAAUUUUAAAAAAUUAAAAUUGGUUUGAUUUUUUUUGAAACCCAAAGGAAAAAAAAACGAAAUUAACUUGAUCUCAAAUCAGAUAAGAGUACCCGCUGAACUUAAGCAUAUCAAUAAGCGGAGGAAAAGAAACUAACUAGGAUUCCCUCAGUAACGGCGAGUGAAGCGGGAAGAGCUCAAAUUUGAAAUCUUCAAGGUUUUACCUUGACGAAUUGUAGUUUAAAGAAGUGUUUUCUGUUGGAGUUUUGGUAAAAGUUCUUUGGAAGAGGACAUCAUAGAGGGUGAGAAUCCCGUAUUUGACCAUUAUCUCCAGCUUUGUGAUACACUUUCAAAGAGUCGGAUUGUUUGGGAAUGCAGUCCAAAAUGGGUGGUAAAUUUCAUCUAAAGCUAAAUACUGGCGAGAGACCGAUAGCGAACAAGUACCGUGAGGGAAAGAUGAAGAGAACUUUGAAAAGAGAGUUAAACAGUACGUGAAAUUGUCAAAAGGGAAGCGUUUGACACCAGUGUUGUUUUCUCGAAAAUCAAUUAAAAAAGGCCGGAUUUUGUGUUGUAUUGACUUUAUCAGCUUUCUGCACUCUUUUCUUGUCUUUUUUAAUGCACUUUUCGUUUAACAAGUCAACAUCAAUUUCUUUUGUUGUAAAAGGGUCAUUGGAAGGUGGCUUUCUUUUCGGAGAAAGUGUUUAUAGCCUUUGGCCUCUGCAAUCGGAGAGAUUGAGGUCUGCAGCGUAGAUCCUUCGGGGUUAGAUACAUUUGUGCUAAGUUAUAGCCUUUCAUAGACAACUUGUUGACUAUGAUCAGUCAUGUAGCUUACCCGCUUAUGCUAUUUUACCUACGCUAGGAUGUUGAG
rnacentral:misc_RNA from 1 species